UGGUGGGUAGUUUGACUGGGGCGGUCUCCUCCUAAAGAGUAACGGAGGAGCACGAAGGUUGGCUAAUCCUGGUCGGACAUCAGGAGGUUAGUGCAAUGGCAUAAGCCAGCUUGACUGCGAGCGUGACGGCGCGAGCAGGUGCGAAAGCAGGUCAUAGUGAUCCGGUGGUUCUGAAUGGAAGGGCCAUCGCUCAACGGAUAAAAGGUACUCCGGGGAUAACAGGCUGAUACCGCCCAAGAGUUCAUAUCGACGGCGGUGUUUGGCACCUCGAUGUCGGCUCAUCACAUCCUGGGGCUGAAGUAGGUCCCAAGGGUAUGGCUGUUCGCCAUUUAAAGUGGUACGCGAGCUGGGUUUAGAACGUCGUGAGACAGUUCGGUCCCUAUCUGCCGUGGGCGCUGGAGAACUGAGGGGGGCUGCUCCUAGUACGAGAGGACCGGAGUGGACGCAUCACUGGUGUUCGGGUUGUCAUGCCAAUGGCACUGCCCGGUAGCUAAAUGCGGAAGAGAUAAGUGCUGAAAGCAUCUAAGCACGAAACUUGCCCCGAGAUGAGUUCUCCCUGACCCUUUAAGGGUCCUGAAGGAACGUUGAAGACGACAACGUUGAUAGGCCGGGUGUGUAAGCGCAGCGAUGCGUUGAGCUAACCGGUACUA
rnacentral:rRNA from 1 species